GUGUCAAGUGGCCAUCUUGAAGCUACUCCGCCACUGUUAAAUAAAUAGUGACACCGAAUCCUGAUACCCGCCACAUUUAUAUCCAGAAAGUGAGUAAUCUCUGUAGUUGUGCUUGCUUGGGAGUUCUGGGAUUGUGAAUCUCCAUGUAUCUUUGGGACCUGUCAGCUGUGGCAGUCUCCCUUCCUAGCCAUGGAAGAGCAUAUUCUUGUUUAUUGGCAAAGCUGUCACCAUUUAAUUGGUAUCAGAUUCUGACUUGCACAAGUAACAUUAAUCUCUUGAAAACCUGAACGGUGCCGGGUUAUUGGGCACAUAUCUAACUAUUGCUUAAAUGUUUUUAGGAAGCUGAACUAAUCGUUCCAAUGGAUGACAGGAAACAUGACAAGGUAUGUUCCUUUUUAUUCAUAUUUCGUCGUUAAUCCAGAAUCCUUAGUGCUAAGUAAUGGAAGGCCAGAAUUGGCCCGAUUUGCUGCUACUUUGUAAUUUGAAAGAGUAAUAAAUAGCCAACUAAAUAGAAAGUAACUGAAGUUGCUAAUAUUUCAGCACUGUGAUUUAGGACACAGAGUUUACAAAACUGGUUUUCUUCUCUUGCAGAUAAUCAAGAAAUUCAAAAUGUAUGGGUGAAGUCCUGUUUAUUUAGAACCUUGUGGUGCACUGCCAAACGUGAUUUUUUUUUAAUCGCAACAUGUUGCAUAUUGAGUGGUGAAUAAUCUGUAAACUAUCAAGUUGGUGGUCUCCGUAUAGGCCAGAAUAUUACUUUGGCGUAAGUAUGACAUUUAGUAGAGAAUAAGUGAGUGCUUGCUUGCUAUAAUUAAAUAAAAUGCCUGAUUUCAUCUGG
rnacentral:lncRNA from 1 species